rnacentral:rRNA from 1 species
AUUGAACGCUGGCGGCAUGCCUUACACAUGCAAGUCGAACGGCAGCACGGGGGCAACCCUGGUGGCGAGUGGCGAACGGGUGAGUAAUACAUCGGAACGUGCCCCGUAGCGGGGGACGAACCAGUCGAAAGACUGGCUAAUACCGCAUACGCUCCACGGAGGAAAGCAGGGGAUCGCAAGACCUUGCACUAUGGGAGCGGCCGAUGCCCGAUUAGCUAGUUGGUGAGGUA